GGCCGUCACCGGGGGUGCCCCAAAGGGGCUGAGAGCAUACCCUUGGAACCUGAUCCGGGUCAUGCCGGCGUAGGGAAGGUGACGGCCAUCCCCU
rnacentral:ncRNA from 2 species